GCUUAGCCCUAAAUCCUGGUACUUACGUUACCUAAGUACCCGCCCGAGAACUACGAGCACAAACGCUUAAAACUCUAAGGACUUGGCGGUGCCCUAAACCCACCUAGAGGAGCCUGUUCUAUAAUCGAUAACCCACGAUACACCCAACCAUCUCUUGCCAACACAGCCUAUAUACCGCCGUCGCCAGCUCGCCUAAAAUGAGAGAACAGCGAACACAACAGCUAUCCCAGCUAACAAGACAGGUCAAGGUAUAGCCUAUGAGAUGGAAGAAAUGGGCUACAUUUUCUAAAAUAGAAUACUACGAAAAAGGGUGUGAAAUCCCCUUAGAAGGCGGAUUUAGCAGUAAAACAGAAUAAGAGAGUCUAUUUUAAGCUGGCCCUAGGGC
rnacentral:rRNA from 1 species